AUGACCUUCAUCAUCAUCUUCAUCUGGACUCUCACAGCGUUUGCUCAAGAGUGUAGAGGACAGAUCACCGUCACUCAGAGUCCCUCAAUGACAGCAGCUCAACCAGGACAAACUGUGAACAUCAACUGUAGAACCAGCAGUAAUGUGUAUUAUCAUAGUUCUUAUGGACAUUAUUUAGCCUGGUACUUACAGAAACCCGGAGAAGCUCCUAAACUCCUGAUUUAUUAUGCAAGCACCCUCCAGUCAGGAACUCCAUCUAGAUUCAGUGGCAGUGGAUCUAACAGUGAUUUCACUCUGACCAUCAGUGGAGUCCAGACUGAAGAUGCUGGACAUUAUUACUGUCAGAGUUUCUACUAUCCUGGGAGCAUUCGGUGGUUCACACAGUGAUAAAGAGUCGUACAAAAA